UUUUCUGAUCAACUGGAAUUUGAGCCUAGACAUUUCUGCACCCAAAAGGUGUUCGAUGAAAUGUCUGAACCACUAAUUCUAGAGAUUCGUGGCUCUGUAUCAAGGUAUUGG
rnacentral:sRNA from 1 species